GACGAACGCUGGCGGCGUGCCUAAUACAUGCAGGUAGAACGCUGAAGGAGGAGCUUGCUUCUCUGGAUGAGUUGCGAACGGGUGAGUAACGCGUAGGUAACCUGCCUGGUAGCGGGGGAUAACUAUUGGAAACGAUAGCUAAUACCGCAUAAUAGUAGAUGUUGCAUGACAUUUGCUUAAAAGGUGCAAUUGCAUCACUACCAGAUGGACCUGCGUUGUAUUAGCUAGUUGGUGGGGUAACGGCUCACCAAGGCGACGAUACAUAGCCGACCUGAGAGGGUGAUCGGCCACACUGGGACUGAGACACGGCCCAGACUCCUACGGGAGGCAGCAGUAGGGAAUCUUCGGCAAUGGACGGAAGUCUGACCGAGCAACGCCGCGUGAGUGAAGAAGGUUUUCGGAUCGUAAAGCUCUGUUGUAAGAGAAGAACGAGUGUGAGAGUGGAAAGUUCACACUGUGACGGUAUCUGACCAGAAAGGGACGGCUAACUACGUG
rnacentral:rRNA from 1 species